rnacentral:rRNA from 1 species
GUAACACGUACGCAACCUUCCCGUUACUGUGGGAUAGCCCAGGGAAACUUGGAUUAAUACCACAUAUUGCCAUUGGGAGGCAUCUCUUGAUGGCCAAAGAAUUUCGGUAACGGAUGGGCGUGCGGUUGAUUAGGUAGUUGGCGGGGUAACGGCCCACCAAGCCUACGAUCAAUAGCUGAUGUGAGAGCAUGAUCAGCCACACGGGCACUGAGACACGGGCCCGACUCCUACGGGAGGCAGCAGUAAGGAAUAUUGGGCAAUGGACGCAAGUCUGACCCAGCCAUGCCGCGUGAAGGGUGAAGGUCCUCUGGAUUGUAAACUUCUUUUUCCUGGGGAGAAAUGCAUCUUUUCUAAGGUGUUUGACGGUACCAGAAGAAUAAGCACCGGCUAACUCCGUGCCAGCAGCCGCGGUAAUACGGAGGGUGCAAGCGUUAUCCGGAUUCACUGGGUUUAAAGGGUGCGUAGGUGGGCAUGUAAGUCAGAGGUGAAAUCCCCGAGCUUAACUUGGGAACUGCCUUUGAUACUAUAUGUCUUGAAUGUUGUGGAGGUAAGCGGAAUAUGUCAUGUAGCGGUGAAAUGCUUAGAUAUGACAUAGAACACCGAUUGCGAAGGCAGCUUGCUACACAAAUAUUGACACUGAGGCA